GAUGAACGCUAGCUACAGGCUUAACACAUGCAAGUCGAGGGGCAUCAGGAACAAAGCUUGCUUUGUUUGCUGGCGACCGGCGCACGGGUGCGUAACGCGUAUCGAACCUGCCCUAUACUCGGGGAUAGCCUUGCGAAAGUAAGAUUAAUACCCGAUGUUGUUAUUACAUCGCAUGAUGUUUUAACCAAAGAUUUAUCGGAUAGGAUGGCGAUGCGUGACAUUAGGUAGUAGGUGAGGUAACGGCUCACCUAGCCUACGAUGUCUAGGGGUUCUGAGAGAGAAGGCUCCMCGMASACUGUAWCUGAUGWCACKGYYCAKAGCUSCKACURRAGGCGAGUACGUGUACUCUGUAUUGUAUGUACCAUCAGAAAAAGGACCGGCUAAUUCCGUGCCAGCAGCCGCGGUAAUACGGAAGGUCCAGGCGUUAUCCGGAUUUAUUGGGUUUAAAGGGAGCGUAGGCGGGAUAAUAAGUCAGUUGUGAAAGUUUGGGGCUCAACCUUAAAAUUGCAAUUGAUACUGUUAUUCUUGAGUGCACGCAGGGGUGCCGGAAUUCAUAGUGUAGCGGUGAAAUGCUUAGAUAUUAUGAAGAACUCCGAUCGCGAAGGCAAGUGCCCGGAGUGCUACUGACGCUGAGGCUCGAAAGUGCGGGUAUCAAACAGGAUUAGAUACCCUGGUAGUCCGCACAGUAAACGAUGGAUACUCGCGGUGCGUGAGUUAUUAUGCGUCGCCAAGCGAAAGCGUUAAGUAUCCCACCUGGGGAGUACGCCGGCAACGGUGAAACUCAAAGGAAUUGACGGGGGCCCGCACAAGCGGAGGAACAUGUGGUUUAAUUCGAUGAUACGCGAGGAACCUUACCCGGGCUUGAACUAGGCAGGCAUGAUGCAGAGACGCAUCAGUCUUCGGACCUGCUUGGAGGUGCUGCAUGGUUGUCGUCAGCUCGUGCCGUGAGGUGUCGGCUUAAGUGCCAUAACGAGCGCAACCCUUUUCUACGUUUGCCAUCAGGUUAUGCUGGGCACUCCGUAGAUACUGCCAUCGUAAGAUGUGAGGAAGGUGGGGAUGACGUCAAAUCAGCGCGGCCCUUACGUCCGGGGCUACACACGUGUUACAAUGGGGGGUACAGAAGGUUGCUACCUGGCGACAGGAUGCUAAUCCCAAAAACCCUUCUCAGUUCGGACUGGAGUCUGCAACCCGACUCCACGAAGCUGGAUUCGCUAGUAAUCGCGCAUCAGCCAUGGCGCGGUGAAUACGUUCCCGGGCCUUGUACACACCGCCCGUCAAGCCAUGAAAGCCGGGGGUGCCUGAAGACUGUUUACCGCGAGGUGCGGUCUAAGGCAAUACUGGUGAUUGGGGCUA
rnacentral:rRNA from 1 species